GCCCUCGUAGCACAAUGGAUAGUGUAUAGCCCUCCGAAGGCUGGGAUGCGCGUUCGAUUCGCGCCGAGGGCA
rnacentral:tRNA from 1 species